UAUAACAAAAACCUUAUGUCUUCACAUUGCUGACAAGGUGAAGACUUGUUUUUAUUUUGGGUGUACUGUGCCUUUAACCCUAUCGUCUUGUCCCCAGUGAGCAGAGGCCCAAUCCAAAGGAGGAAAGUAUCUAUGGCAACUGGAUCAGUACCAUGACAACCAUAUGCGAUGACCUCAUUACAGACUCCCAAGGCAACAGCAAGAUCAACGACAUACAGGCCUCCAAGUCUACUCCUGUGAACGCCCUCUCUGAUGAGGCAGCCAAGGUGGUGUACCAGAUGAAGAGGGCCAGCAGUGUGGACCAGAGCAAGGGGAAACAGACAGACAUGGUGGCUCUGUGAGGAGCAGGACCACAGCAGUCACAGGUGGCAAAAUCGUCAGACAUCUUGGAUCCACAGGAGCCAGCUGCAGCAUCAACAUUUGCCAAAACUGGCAGCCAUGUUAGAGACUGGACACUCACUCAAACAACUCCAAGUGUACUACCUAAAUAUUAAAUAAAGACGUGUCAUAUAAAUGGUCCAA